rnacentral:rRNA from 1 species
GACGAACGCUGGCGGCGUGCUUAACACAUGCAAGUCGAACGAAGAGCGACGGAAGCUUGCUUCUAUCACUCUUAGUGGCGAACGGGUGAGUAACGCGUAAUCAACCUGCCCUUCAGAGGGGGACAACAGUUGGAAACGACUGCUAAUACCGCAUACGAUCUAAUCUCGGCAUCGAGGAUGGAUGAAAGGUGGCCUCUACAUGUAAGCUAUCACUGAAGGAGGGGAUUGCGUCUGAUUAGCUAGUUGGAGGGGUAACGGCCCACCAAGGCGAUGAUCAGUAGCCGGUCUGAGAGGAUGAACGGCCACAUUGGGACUGAGACACGGCCCAGACUCCUACGGGAGGCAGCAGUGGGGAAUCUUCCGCAAUGGACGAAAGUCUGACGGAGCAACGCCGCGUGAGUGAUGACGGCCUUCGGGUUGUAAAGCUCUGUUAAUCGGGACGAAAGGCCUUCUUGCGAAUAGUGAGGAGGAUUGACGGUACCGGAAUAGAAAGCCACGGCUAACUACGUG